rnacentral:rRNA from 1 species
UACGGAAGGCAGCAGUGGGGAAUAUUGGACAAUGGGCGCAAGCCUGAUCCAGCCAUGCCGCGUGAGUGAUGAAGGCCCUAGGGUUGUAAAGCUCUUUCACCGGUGACGAUAAUGACGGUAACCGGAGAAGAAGCCCCGGCUAACUUCGUGCCAGCAGCCGCGGUAAUACGAAGGGGCUAGCGUUGUUCGGAAUUACUGGGCGUAAAGCGCACGUAGGCGGAUAUUUAAGUCAGGGGUGAAAUCCCGGGGCUCAACCCCGGAACGGCCUUUGAUACUGGAUGUCUUGAGUCCGGAAGAGGUGAGUGGAAUUGCGAGUGUAGAGGUGAAAUUCGUAGAUAUUCGCAGGAACACCAGUGGCGAAGGCGGCUCACUGGUUCGGAACUGACGCUGAGGUGCGAAAGCGUGGGGAGCAAACAGGGAUUAGAUACC